CAGCACCACCAUGUUUUAGUUGUAUUUGGUAGCUAUGUUGAUCUGAGAUGAUAAAAAAAUGCAAAACUCUAGAACUCUUGGUUCAGAGAUGAUACCUUUUAUUAGACCAACUAA